CAGCCGCCGCGGUAAUACGAAGGGUGCAAGCGUUACUCGGAGUUACUGGGCGUAAAGCGUGCGUAGGUGGUGGUUUAAGUCUGCUGUGAAAGCCCUGGGCUCAACCUGGGAAUUGCAGUGGAUACUGGAUCACUAGAGUGUGGUAGAGGGAUGCGGAAUUUCUGGUGUAGCAGUGAAAUGCGUAGAGAUCAGAAGGAACAUCCGUGGCGAAGGCGGCAUCCUGGGCCAACACUGACACUGAGGCACGAAAGCGUGGGGAGCAAAUGGGAUUAGAUACCCGCGUAGUCCCUGUCUCUUAUAC
rnacentral:rRNA from 1 species